rnacentral:rRNA from 1 species
UUAAUGCUUGUCUAAGAUUAAGCCAUGCAUGUCUAAGUACAAACGAAUUAAAAGUGAAACCGCAAAAGGCUCAUUAUAUCAGUUAUGGUUUAUUAGAUCGUUAACAGUUACUUGGAUAACUGUGGUAAUUCUAGAGCUAAUACAUGCAUUAUAAACACGAACCUUUAUUGGAACGUGUGCUUUUAUUAGGCUUAAAACCAAGCGAUACUUAUUAGUAAAAUAAUAAGUUAUCGUUACAAUGGUUGAACUCUAGAUAAUUUGCAGAUCGUAUGGUCUUGUACCGACGACAGAUCUUUCAAAUGUCUGCCCUAUCAACUAUUGAUGGUAGUAUCUUGGACUACCAUGGUUGCAACGGGUAACGGGGAAUCAGGGUUCGAUUCCGGAGAGGGAGCCUGAGAAACGGCUACCACAUCUAAGGAAGGCAGCAGGCGCGUAAAUUACCCACUCCCAGAACGGGGAGGUAGUGACGAAAAAUAACAAUACAGGACUCAUAUCCGAGGCCCUGUAAUUGGAAUGAGUACACUUUAAAUCCUUUAACAAGGACCUAUUGGAGGGUAAGUCUGGUGCCAGCAGCCGCGGUAAUUCCAGCUCCAAUAGCGUAUAUUAAAGUUGUUGCGGUUAAAACGUUCGUAGUUGAACUUGUGCUCCAUACGGGUAGUAUAAACUAAAAUUUUGGUUCAUACAUUACCUUAUGUUAUGCGAGCGUAUUACCGGUGGAGUUUAAAAUAUAUAUAUGCUUAUAUCAUUAUUAUAAAUCCUUUUAUGUAUUUAUUUUAUGAUUAACUUAUAUAUAACUCCUAUUAAAAAAACCCUGCUUCAAUGCUCUUCAUCGAGUGUUGUUGUGGGCCGGUACAAUUACUUUGAACAAAUUAGAGUGCUUAAAGCAGGCUUCUAAUGCCUAAAUAUUUUGUGCAUGGAAUAAUGGAAUAAGACCUCUGUUCUACUUUCAUUGGUUUUUAGAUCAAGAGGUAAUGAUUAAUAGAAGCAGUUGGGGGCAUUAGUAUUACGACGCGAGAGGUGAAAUUCUUGGACCGUCGUAAGACUAACUUAAGCGAAAGCAUUUGCCAAAGAUGUUUUCAUUAAUCAAGAACGAAAGUUAGAGGCUCGAAGGCGAUCAGAUACCGCCCUAGUUCUAACCAUAAACGAUGCCAGCUAGCAAUUGGGUGUAGCUACUAUUAUGGCUUUCUCAGUCGCUUCCCGGGAAACCAAAGCUUUUGGGCUCCGGGGGAAGUAUGGUUGCAAAGCUGAAACUUAAAGGAAUUGACGGAAGGGCACCACCAGGAGUGGAGUCUGCGGCUUAAUUUGACUCAACACGGGAAAGUUUACCAGGUCCGAACAUAAAUGAGUAAGACAGAUUGAUAGCUCUUUCUCGAAUCUAUGGGUGGUGGUGCAUGGCCGUUCUUAGUUCGUGGAGUGAUUUGUCUGGUUAAUUCCGAUAACGAACGAGACUCAAAUAUAUUAAAUAGAUGCUUACAGGAUUAUGGUGUUGAAACUUUAUAUAAUCUUCGAAUUUUUAAUUAUAUAUAGUAUUUAUUAAAACGUAUUGUAUAUUAUUAAUAUUUGUAAGUAUUUAUAUAAAGUGGAGUCAUACCUGUUUGUUUGUCCCAUAAAUACGGACACUAGCUUCUUAAAUGGACAAAUUGCGUCUAGCAAUAAUGAGAUUGAGCAAUAACAGGUCUGAAAUGCCCUUAGAUGUCCUGGGCUGCACGCGCGCUACAAUGAAAGUAUCAACGUGUAUUUCCUAGACCGAGAGGUCCGGGUAAACCGCUGAACCACUUUCAUGCUUGGGAUUGUGAACUGAAACUGUUCACAUGAACCUGGAAUUCCCAGUAAGUGCGAGUCAUUAACUCGUAUUGAUUACGUCCCUGCCCUUUGUACACACCGCCCGUCGCUACUACCGAUUGAAUUAUUUAGUGAGGUCUCCGGACGUGAUCGCUGUGACGCCUUUUUUAAGGUUUUACGGUUGUUUCGCAAAAGUUGACCGACUUGAUUAUUUAGAGGAAGUAAAAGUCGUAACAAGGUUUCC